CCUACGGGUGGCAGCAGUGAGGAAUAUUGGUCAAUGGGCGCAAGUCUGAACCAGCCAAGCCGCGUGCAGGAUGACGGCUCUAUGAGUUGUAAACUUCUUUUGUACGGGGGUAAUAUCUGGUACGUGUGCCUUCUUGAAUGUACCUUAUGAAUAAGGAUCGGCUAACUCCGUUCCAGCAGCCGCGGUAAUACGGAGGAUCCGAGCGUUAUCCGGAUUUAUUGGGUUUAAAGGGUGCGUAGAUGGGUUGUUAAGUCAGAUGUGAAAGUUUGCGGCUCAACCGUAAAAUUGCAAUUGAUACUGGCAGUCUUGAGUACAGGUGAGGUAGGCGGAAUUCGUGGUGUAGCGGUGAAAUGCGUAGAGAUCACGAAGAACGCCGAUUGCGAAGGCAGCUUACUAAACUGUGACUGACAUUGAUGCUCGAAAGUGUGGGUAGCAAACAGGAUUAGAUACCCGAGUAGUC
rnacentral:rRNA from 1 species